AUGCCCCAAAGGUUAAAAAAAUCGCCAACUUUUUUUGUGUUAUUUUUUGAAUGCAUACAUAUAGAUAGCUCAUUUGCUUCGUUGUAUAUCCUUUAUAGUGUCAACGAUGAGGCAUAUAUGUCAACUAUGGGUGUUGGCUCCAACAAUUCUCAUUGGUCUCAAACCAAUGACAUGCAUUUCGAUGACCAUGAGUUCAAGGUGGACGAGGAUGGUGAGGGCAUUGUCGACGCAUCGAAAGGAAGAGGAGGCAAAUACAUAAACGAUGAAGACAUAUUGCUAUGCAAUACUUAGUUGCAAGUGUCAAGGGAUCCAUACGUUGGAGGUGAUCAAGUAGAGAUGCAUAUUGGAACCGGAUGA
rnacentral:rRNA from 1 species